AGUGAACAAAGUGUAUUCCUGGGCUAAUAACAUGUUAAACUUUUUGAAAUAUUCUGUUAUUGCUUGAGAAUACACGUUGUCUCU
rfam:Tetranychus urticae London genomic scaffold, scaffold_23